UCGUUGCGAUCAAAAUGACGGGUUGAGCAUUUAAUUAGGGCGGCGCUAGUGAUGGCUUCUGCUUCUUCAUUUGGCUUCUUACUCAGCAUUCACUUUACAUGAUAUGCCUGGGAAGAUAAAGAGUUGGCAGAGCCUUCUAAAAUUCCUGGAACGGGGUGAAAGAUGUUAGACAAUUGACAUUUUAACUCUAGUGUUUCAGUUUGUCUAAUUGUUAUUCAAUCAAGUAUUGUCUAUUUUCUUUUCUUUCAUUUCUGUUUUGAUUUGGUCAAAGUAAAUCCCUUGUUUUUCUGAAGUUGUUGCUGAGUUAGUGGCAGCACAUUGUCCACUACAGAGUUGGUGGCAGCACAUUGUCCACUACAGAGUUAGUGGCAGAUAACUAGGAAAGUUUGUUAAGUUUUCUCAUGUAUUUAAAGACAUGAAGUUAAGGAAAUACUUACUGAGACAUUUUAUCAAACACCUUGUGUGUAGUUCGUGUUCUUCAAUACUCAGCAUUGUUGUUCUUGAUUGUGCAUCCCUUCACCUGCACAAAACACAGCAACAUAAUUCUUAACAGUGGUAUCAGAGCCCUCUUAGAUCUUACAGGACCAAAACACCUUUUUCAAAAUCUCAAAAUGACAUCCAACAACCUACUUUUAAACUCCCCCAUUAUAUUCACUGGCGAAAACUACCACAUUUGGUCAGUGAAGAUGCAAGCUUUUCUUGAAGCUUAUGAUCUUUGGGAAAUUGUUUCCGAAGACAAACCAGUAGCUCCCUUACCAACAAAUCCCAC
rnacentral:lncRNA from 1 species